rnacentral:lncRNA from 1 species
UGGCAGAGGUUGUUAUGGCAAAGAGGAGAGGUCGCCCAAGGAAAGAAUUAGUACCGAUUUAUGCGAGUGAUGGAGUUUUCCCAAAAGCAGUUAACACUGUACCAAUGGUAGGUACCACUGUUCCAUUGAAAUCAGUUGAGAUAACUGUUCCAUUGCCUCAUGCAGUAAUAGAUCCAUAACCAUCUGGAGUCUCCCUGAUACCAACAGCAAAUGUGAGAAUUACUG